rnacentral:rRNA from 1 species
UACGUAGGGACCAAGCGUUGUUCGGAUUUACUGGGCGUAAAGGGCGCGUAGGCGGCAAUUCAAGUCAUCUGUGAAAUCUCCGGGCUUAACUCGGAAUGGUCAGGUGAUACUGCUUUGCUAGAGUGCAGAAGGGGCAAUCGGAAUUCUUGGUGUAGCGGUGAAAUGCGUAGAUAUCAAGAGGAACACCUGAGGUGAAGACGGGUUGCUGGGCUGACACUGACGCUGAGGCGCGAAAGCGUGGGGAGCGAACAGG